CCUCUGGAGGCCCACGGUCGACGCCUCAGUUACGCUCUGACUCUCGUGAGAUCAACACGUGCCGCUCCGAAUUGUCGUCUCUCUCUAAUAUCUCGACCCUGAUGGUGAAGAGGAGGAAAUGAGAGAUUAAAGACUAUGUUUGUCGUCUCUCGUGAUAGUGAAGAAGAGGAAUAAACUAGAGAGUGAAGAUUGGGAAAGUGAAGAAGACGAAGAAGAGGAGGAGGAGGGAAGGAUGAUUUAGAGACAGUUUCCCUCCUUAUGAUGGAUGAAGAUAUUUAAAGGAAAAUCAUGUGAUGGUGAGAGAAAGUGAUAGUGAUAUAUAGAACUACUACUACUACUACUACUACUAAUACUAAUACUUUUUUUUU